AUUGAACGCUGGCGGCAGGCCUAACACAUGCAAGUCGAGCGGCGCGGCGGUCGGGUGAGUAAUGCCUAGGAAUCUGCCUGGUAGUGGGGGAUAACGUCCGGAAACGGGCGCUAAUACCGCAUACUCUCAGAUGAGCAUAGGUCGGAUUAGCUAGUUGGUGGGGGAAAGGCCUAACAAGGCGAAGUUCCGGAACUGGUCUGAGAGGAUGAUCAGUCACACUGGAACGGAGACACGGUCCAGAAUCCUACGGUAGGCAGCAGUGGGGAAGAUGGGACAAUGGGCGAAAGCCUGAUCCAGCCAUGCCGCGUGUGUGAAGAAGGUCUUCGGAUUGUAAAGCACUUUAAGUUGGGAGGCGUUACCAACAGAAUAAGCACCGGCUAACUUCGUGACAGCAGCCGCGGUAAUAC
rnacentral:rRNA from 1 species